rnacentral:rRNA from 1 species
UGGGGAAUAUUGCACAAUGGGCGAAAGCCUGAUGCAGCGACGCCGCGUGCGGGAUGAAGGCCUUCGGGUUGUAAACCGCUUUUGAUUGGGAGCAAGCGAGAGUGAGUGUACCUUUCGAAUAAGCACCGGCUAACUACGUGCCAGCAGCCGCGGUAAUACGUAGGGUGCAAGCGUUAUCCGGAAUUAUUGGGCGUAAAGAGCUCGUAGGCGGUUUGUCGCGUCUGGUGUGAAAGUCCAUCGCUUAACGGUGGAUCUGCGCCGGGUACGGGCAGGCUAGAGUGCGACAGGGGAGACUGGAAUUCCCGGUGUAACGGUGGAAUGUGUAGAUAUCGGGAAGAACACCAAUGGCGAAGGCAGGUCUCUGGGUCGUCACUGACGCUGAGGAGCGAAAGCGUGGGGAGCGAACAGGAUUAGAUACCCUGGUAGUCCACGCCGUAAACGGUGGAUGCUGGAUGU